rnacentral:tRNA from 3 species
GGGCGGAUAGCUCAGUUGGGAGAGCACGUGCCUUACAAGCACGGGGUCACAGGUUCGAUCCCUGUUUCGCCCACCA